rnacentral:rRNA from 1 species
AUUGAACGCUAGCGGCAGGCCUAACACAUGCAAGUCGAGCGAGCGGCGGACGGGUGAGAAAUGUAUGGGGACUGCCCGAUAGAGGGGGAUAACUACUGGAAACGGAAGCUAAUACAGCAUACUAUCGGAUAACCCAUAUGGGAUUAGCUAGUAGGUGAGGUAAUGGCUCACCUAGGCGACGAUCCCUAGCUGGUUUGAGAGGAUGAGCAGCCACACUGGGACUGAGACACGGCCCAGACUCCUACGGAGGCAGCAGUGGGGAAUAUUGGACAAUGGGCGCAAGCCUGAUGCAGCCAUGCCGCGUGUAUGAAGAAGGCCUUAGGGUUGUAAAGUACUUUCAGUCGGGAGGCGUUACCUACAGAAGAAGCACCGGCUAACUACGUGCCAGCAGCCGCGGUAAUAC